rnacentral:rRNA from 1 species
AGAUGUUUGAUCCUGGCUCAGGAUGAACGCUAGCGACGGCCUAACACAUGCAAGUCGAGGGGUAGGUGAAAGUAGCUAUACUUUUGAUGACUACCGGGGCACGGGUGAGUAACGCGUAUGCAACCUACCUACUACAGGGGAAUACCCCGAAGAAAUUCGGAUUAAUGCCCCAUAAUACAGGGGCACCCCAUGGGGAUAUUUGUUAAAGAUUAAUUGGUAGUUUAUGGGCAUGCGUUCCAUUAGCCAUUUGGUGAGGUAACGGCUCACCAAAGCAACGAUGGAUAGGGGAACUGAGAUGUUUAUCCCCCACACUGGUACUGACACACGGACCGGACUCCUACGGGAGGCAGCACUGAGGAAUAUUGGUCAAUGGGCGAGAGCCUGAACCAGCCAAGUCGCGUGAAGGAUGACUGCCCUAUGGGUUGUAAACUUCUUUUGUACUGGGGUAAAAAAGAGGACGUGUCCUUUCUUGCAAGUACAGUACGAAUAAGCAUCGGCUAACUCCGUGCCAGCAGCCGCGGUAAUACGGAGGAUGCGAGCGUUAUCCGGAUUUAUUGGGUUUAAAGGGUGCGUAAGCGGUGAUUUAAGUCAGCGCUGAAAGUUUGAGGCUCAACCUUAAAAUUGCCGUUGAAACUGGCUUUCUUGAGUGUAUUUGACGUAGGCGGAAUUCGUUGUGUAGCGGUGAAAUGCAUACAUAUAACGAAGAACUCCGCUUGCACAUGCAGCUUACUACACUACAACUGACGCUCAUUCACGAAAGCGAGUGUAUCAGACACGAUUAGAUACCCUGGAUAGUACACGCAUUAAAACCACGAUUACUACCUGUUUGUGAUAAUACAA